rnacentral:rRNA from 1 species
CGGGAAGAGCUCAAAUUUAAAAUCUGGCAGCCUUGUGUUGUCCGAGUUGUAAUUUGCAGAGGAUGCUUUUGGCGCGGUGCCUUCCGAGUUCCCUGGAACGGGACGCCAUAGAGGGUGAGAGCCCCGUACGGUUGGACACCAAGCCUUUGUAAAGCUCCUUCGAC